UGAGGAAUAUUGGUCAAUGGGCGAGAGCCUGAACCAGCCAAGUCGCGUGAGGGGAGACGGUCCUACGGAUUGUAAACCUCUUUUGUCGGGGAGCAAUAAAGCGUACGCGUACGCAGAUGCGAGUACCCGAAGAAAAGCAUCGGCUAACUCCGUGCCAGCAGCCGCGGUAAUACGGAGGAUGCGAGCGUUAUCCGGAUUUAUUGGGUUUAAAGGGUGCGCAGGCGGAAAGUGCAAGUCAGCGGUCAAACGACGGGGCUCAACCCCGUCUCGCCGUUGAAACUGUCUUUCUAGAGUGAGCGAGAAGUAUGCGGAAUGCGUGGUGUAGCGGUGAAAUGCAUAGAUAUCACGCAGAACUCCGAUUGCGAAGGCAGCAUACCGGCGCUCAACUGACGCUCAUGCACGAAAGCGUGGGUAUCGAACAGGAUUAGAUACC
rnacentral:rRNA from 1 species